UUUUUCUUGAGUUUUCUUUUUCCGUGGUUAUGUGGUCUGGAAACUGGAGAAGAUGACCUCUUAUUUCUUUCUAGAGUGGCUUGUCAUCCUCAAAACCCUUCCUAGACCUUGCCAUUUCCAUCUUGGACCAACCCCAAUAUUCUUUUCCUUGGGAAUAUUCCUUUUUCUAUUAAAGGAAUAACCCAAUUUGCCCUAGGUUGUGAAGAAACCUAUAUUUCCAUCACUCCUAAAAUUCCCAAAUAAUUCUCAUAAAUUGUUUGGGUCAUAUCUUCUUCAAAUGUGGCAAAAUAUUUCAUUUUCCAUGUUCUUCAUCAUGCUCAAUUAAUUCCUUCCCUAUUUUGUCCUGAAUGGCAGUUUGUGAAGCAAGCGCCAUUUACCUUUGCCCAAUUGACCUCAAAGUUUUUGGAAACCUUUUCAUGUCAAAAUAAAUGUCUCAUGCCAAACUUCAACAUAAUUUUCCUAGUAAAUAUUCCCGAGCAUUUUUUCGAAGUUCCUGUCUGAGGGAAUUGUUUGUGAAGUACUAGUUAGGUUAACCCAAUUGAGUUGAAAUUUGGAUGGUCCUUGAUAUCAUCAAAUAAAAGCCCUCCUAAAGAUUUGAGCUCAUGCAAUGCAUCCAUGUGAGCUUAGCAUCAAUUCUUUGUUUCUGUCCAAAUUUUCAGUUAGUGAAGCAAGUAUAUUUUAUCUUGCUUAAUUACUGCUGAAAAUUUUCCAGGACCUUCUCCUACCGAUAUAACCUAUACCCACAAGAUUUGGGCUCAUUUCAUCAAGCCAUUUUCCCUCAGGAUUUUUCCUAAGUUUCUGUCCAGAGAAGUGCUAUAUGAAGGAAGUACCAUUUUGGCUUAGCCAAAUGGUAUGAAAUUUUUGUGGAACACUAAUAUGACCAAAUAACCCUUCCUGGCCAAAUUUCAGCUCAAGUGGCUUCUUCAUUUGAGUGCAUCAUCAUAAUCUUUAUUCUAGACCAUAUUGGUCAGUUACAAAGCAACUAUGUUGUUUUGCGGCCCAUUUCUUCUCUAAAACCCCAGGACUAUAGUCCUUCCUAACCUAAACUCCCCAAACAACCCAUAUGGACCAUAGCAUUCCUAUGGUGAUCACUGCAUCACGAUUAAGUUUGAUGCAGCAACAUUCAGAGCUCAAUUCCCAUCUAACCACUGCACGUUUCUUCGAGCUACUCACUCAGUCGAAACCUCCCUCGGAAGGACUCUCCCCAAGACAACCAUUUACAGUCAUUUAUCUCCUCUUGAUGCCAGCUCAGGCGGUGACCACGGGUCAUGCCAGCCAAACGCGUGCUCUGGCGCCUCUGUCCUCUUCUCUUGCUCUCUGCUCAGCGUCUCAGCGAGCACGGGCAUGUCUCCUAGCUCCCCCUCAUCGUCAUCUUCUUCCUGGAGCUAUCUCCCUCUGCGGAAGCCUCUCCGUCGGUGCUCGUCGCCGAGCACCCACGGGCGUACUAUGGCCGACAAGGCAUUUAAGGCGUUCGGCUUCUUCUCCCCUGCGCCCCUUGGCCUCCUCUGCUCCGUGACCCUCUGUAGCGUGUCCGCUUCUCCCUCGUCGUGUUCCCGCACCUCCCCGUGACCGAUGAGCGUCGCCAGGGCCUUGGCCGAACUUGCACGGCGGCGACCGGCUCGGCCUUCCCCGCCCCGGCUAUAUAUAGCCCCUCCCCGCGGCUCCCGAGCACUCCAUCGACCUCAUCUAGCUCCCAGCUCUCUCCCGAGCCUCUCAACCCCUCGCCGGAGCCCCUCCUGUCCUCCCGCUGCCACCACGGCCAUCGCCGGCCGCCGCUCAAAUUCGAGCAGUCCGGCCACUCCCCCUCACUUAGCUUCCACCAGAGGAGCCCCCUCGAUCCCCUGAUCCUCCCCACAUCUUCCUUUCCCCUCCGGAGUAACCACAUCGCCGACUGCAUCCAUGGCCGACGACCUCCUCCGCUGGCGUCCCUUCUGCUGCUCCCUCCUUCCUCCUUGGAGGUCGUGCCAUGCACCAGUCGAUGCGCCCCGUUCCCCUGAUCACCCCAGUAGGCGGAGCGGCGCGAGAGGUGGCCGGAGUCGCCGGGGAUCCUCGCCGGGGCUGUCGGGCUCGCUCCCGCCUCUGCACGCCGUCGGGGUGGAGAAGAAGGAAGAGCAGGGAGGAGAGAGAAAGAGGCAGGCCCACCUGUCAGCGAGACAAGUCCCGGUCCCGCCUCUGUCACGUCACUUAAGUGAAAGCGGAAUUCCUAGAAUACACUUUCCAGCUGACCGCUGGCCGAAUCCUCUAGUUUGUGAACGUUCACCCGUUAGUAACAGAAAAGCAUAUAUUUUUAUUUGUUUUUCUGCUAACGAACGAACGGCUGUAACUUUUUGCUCAAGACUCCGAUUGAGGUGAAUCCAAAGCCUAAUUAUUCGUCUCGUCGAGCCCGUUCUGUUGGUGUCACUUUCAUUAUGUUUUGACAUACUGGAAAUGACCUUUUUGCCCUUGCCCCUAAUCAGUCCCUUUCGAGAGAGAAGUGUUUCCGGCAAAUCUUUCCGCGAUCUUUCCGCACAUCUUCCCGAUGGUUUCUUCAUCCCCAGGCAAGCCACAACACCCACUUGCAUGAUGGCCAUGCAGUAGCCAUGGUUUUCAACUUGAAUAUUUAAUAAAUGUCUGCUUGUUUUGAUACGGUUAUCGUUGUUUUGGUGAUGCUUAUGGAUUUGUGUUCACUAUCAUGCUAUGCUUUCUUGCACUUUGUUAUCAUGAACUACUUGCUAGUAUUACUUUCAUA